GGAACUCUGUUUGGCACUCUAAAACUACAACAACAUUUUGCAAAUCUUGAAUUAUAUUCACUGGAAUUAUUCGUGAGAUACUUUAUUUUUUAUCGUUGUUGGAAUGGACUUGCAGAUAGUCUGGAAAAAUUGCAUGGAAAGAAAGGAAAAAUACUUUUCUGGAUUCUUCCAUUAUCAGUUGGUGUGAUUCUGGUAGUCCUUAGCCUGCUGAUCUAUCAUAGAAGAAGGAUGAAGGCUUUAGCGCUUAAAAAGAAAGGAAGGUCAGGAUGCAGUGGCAAUUACAAGAUGGAUUACAACAGUAAUUGCGCUGAAGGAUUUGAAAUACCACUGUUUGACUUAUCUACGAUAGCAAAGGCCACCAAUAAUUUUUCAUUUGACAGAAAGUUUGGAGAGGGGGGUUUGGACCUAUUUACAAGGGCAUACAUGAAAGACAGGAAAUAGCUGUCAAGCGGGCUGUCUAGAACUUCCACACAAGGAGAGAAUGAGUUCAAGAAUGAAGUUGUAUAUAUUGCCAAACUUCAGCAUAGGAAUCUGGUGAAGAUACAUGGCUGUUGUAUUGAAGAGGACGAAAAAAUGCUGAUCUAUGAGUACUUGCCAAAUGGGAGUCUUGAUUCAUUUAUAUUUGAUAAUGCACGAAGCAAGGUAUUAGACUGGCCCAAGCGAUUUCACAUUAUCAAUGGUAUAGCUCGAGGACUUAUGUAUCUGCAUCAAGAUUCUCUAUUGAGAGUAGUACACAGAGACUUGAAAGCUAACAACAUAUUGUUAGACAAGGACAUGAAUCCAAAGAUAUCCGACUUCGGCAUAGCAAAAAUAUGUGAAGAGGAUGACAUUGGAUCUAUGACAAACCGAGUUGUUGGAACAUAGUAAGAACCUUUUACAGGCUUGUAUACGAUCAAAACCGCGUUUGCCCUUCGUGUGAUUAGUCAAGAUUGGAGCAUGACGGUCCGAGUGUCGUCGUUAUAAUAUCGAGCUAUGAUGUGAAGUUGGGUUAUCGAGCUCGAGAUCUAGAGACCGAUCAAUACCGAGCUCAAGUCAAUCGAGCUCGAGUCAAGGUCGAGCUCGAGACCCAGAG